GCGGUACAGCAUCAUCAUCACAGUUGGAUGGAGAAGAUGGCAGCUUAUCAACUCUUCCUCCACCACCUCCACCACCUCCAUUGCCCCAGAGUGGUGAUGCAGAUUCUGUGGAUGUGUCUGCGAUGCCUGCAUCUUUACCUUUACCACCUCCACCUCCUAUGCCCCCAAAGCCCGUGACAGAAAUGAGCACUUCAUUGCCACUGCCUCCUUUGCCCCCACCACCUCCUGGUCCCCCACCAAAGGAACAGGUUGCCGUUCACCUUCCACUUCCUCCACCUCCCGCACCUCCCCUUCAGCCAUCUGCUCAACCUCCUCCCCCCGGCACUGGUGGAAGUGAAAGGGAUAGAAAUAACCUGGACAAUCCAGCUUC
rnacentral:lncRNA from 1 species